rnacentral:rRNA from 1 species
GACGAACGCUGGCGGCGUGCUUAACACAUGCAAGUCGAACGGAGAGGCCCUGCUUUUGUGGGGUGCUCGAGUGGCGAACGGGUGAGUAACACGUGAGUAACCUGCCCUUGACUUUGGGAUAACUUCAGGAAACUGGGGCUAAUACCGUAUAGGAGCUCCUGUUGCAUGGUGGGGGUUGGAACGUUUCGGCGGGUGGGGAUGGACGCGCGGCUUAUCAGCUUGUUGGUGGGGUAGUGGCUUACCAAGGCUUUGACGGGUAGCCGGCAUGGGAGGGUGACCGGCCACAAUGGGACUGAGAGACGGCCCAGACUGCUACGGGAGGCAGCAGUGGGGAAUAUUGCACAAUGGGCGGAAGCCUGAUGCAGCAACGCCGCGUGCGGGAUGACGGCCUUCGGGUUGUAAACCGCUUUCGCCUGUGACGAAGCGUGAGUGACGGUAAUGGGUAAAGAAGCACCGGCUAACUACGUG